rnacentral:rRNA from 1 species
UACAGAGGUCUCGAGCGUUGUUCGGAUUCAUUGGGCGUAAAGGGUGCGUAGGUGGCUGGGUAAGUCGGAUGUGAAAUCCCGGGGCUCAACCCCGGAACUGCAUUCGAUACUGCCUGGCUAGAGUACUGGAGAGGAGAUUGGAAUUUACGGUGUAGCAGUGAAAUGCGUAGAUAUCGUAAGGAAGACCAGUGGCGAAGGCGGAUCUCUGGACAGUUACUGACACUGAGGCACGAAGGCCAGGGGAGCAAACGGG